rnacentral:rRNA from 1 species
GACGAACGCUGGCGGCGUGCUUAACACAUGCAAGUCGAACAGUGGCGAACGGGUGAGUAAUACGUUGGAACCUGCCCUCCUUUUUGGGAUAAGCCUUGGAAACGGGGUCUAAUACCGAAUAUAGGGGGAUGGGCUCGCGGCCUAUCAGCUUGUUGGUGGGGUAAAGGCCUACCAAGGCGACGAUCAGUAGCGGGUCUGAGAGGAUGAUCCGCAACAAUGGGACUGAGACACGGCCCAGACUCCUACGGGAGGCAGCAGUGGGGAAUUUUGGACAAGGGGCGCAAGCCGGAUCCAGCCAGGCCGCGUGUCUGAAGAAGGCCUUCGGGUUGUAAAGGACUUUUGUUAGGGAAGCGGUACCUAAAGAAUAAGCACCGGCUAACUACGUGCCAGCAGCCGCGGUAAUUC